AUUGAACGCUGGCGGCAGGCCUAACACAUGCAAGUCGAGCGGAUGAAGGGAGCUUGCUCCUGGAUUCAGCGGCGGACGGGUGAGUAAUGCCUAGGAAUCUGCCUGGUAGUGGGGGAUAACGUCCGGAAACGGGCGCUAAUACCGCAUACGUCCUGAGGGAGAAAGUGGGGGAUCUUCGGACCUCACGCUAUCAGAUGAGCCUAGGUCGGAUUAGCUAGUUGGUGGGGUAAAGGCCUACCAAGGCGACGAUCCGUAACUGGUCUGAGAGGAUGAUCAGUCACACUGGAACUGAGACACGGUCCAGACUCCGACGGGAGGCAGCAGUGGGGAAUAUUGGACAAUGGGCGAAAGCCUGAUCCAGCCAUGCCGCGUGUGUGAAGAAGGUCUUCGGAUUGUAAAGCACUUUAAGUUGGGAGGAAGGGCAGUAAGUUAAGACCUUGCUGUUUUGACGUUACCAACAGAAUAAGCACCGGCUAACUUCGU
rnacentral:rRNA from 1 species